rnacentral:rRNA from 1 species
UGGAGAGUUUGAUCCUGGCUCAGGACGAACGCUGGCGGCGUGCCUAAUACAUGCAAGUCGAGCGCGGGAAGCGAGUGGAUCCCUUCGGGGUGAAGCUCGUGGAACGAGCGGCGGACGGGUGAGUAACACGUGGGCAACCUGCCUGUAAGAUCGGAAUAACCCCGGGAAACCGGGGCUAAUGCCGGGUAAUACUUUCUUUCGCAUGAAGGAAAGUUGAAAGAUGGCUUCUWGCUAUCACUUACAGAUGGGCCCGCGGCGCAUUAGCUAGUUGGUGAGGUAACGGCUCACCAAGGCGACGAUGCGUAGCCGACCUGAGAGGGUGAUCGGCCACACUGGGACUGAGACACGGCCCAGACUCCUACGGGAGGCAGCAGUAGGGAAUCUUCCGCAAUGGACGAAAGUCUGACGGAGCAACGCCGCGUGAACGAUGAAGGUCUUCGGAUCGUAAAGUUCUGUUGUUAGGGAAGAACAAGUACCGUGCGAAUAGAGCGGUACCUUGACGGUACCUAACGAGGAAGCCCCGGCUAACUACGUGCCAGCAGCCGCGGUA